CAAUAGCGUAUAUUAAAGUUGUUGCAGUUAAAAGACUCGUAGUUGGAUUUCUGGGAGGGUGCCAAUGUCCGUCGUCGUACGUGUUGCAGCGGCGCCCUUCCAUCCUUUCUGUUAACGACUUUUGGGCAAUUUCACUUGCCGGAGUCGGGCUCAGAUAUUUUACCUUGAGAAAAUUUAGAGUAGUUUCAGGCAAGGCUAGGCCGGAAUACAUUAGCAUGGAAUAAUGGAAUAGGACUACGGUCUCUUUGUUGGUUUGAGGGACUGCAGUAAUGAUUAAUAGGGAUAGUUGGGGGCAUUAGUAUUUAAUUGUCAGAGGUGGAAUUCUCGGAUUUGUUAAAGACUAACUUAUGCGAAAGCAUUUGCCAAGGAUGUUUUCAUUAAUCAAGAACGAAAGUUAGGGGAUCAAAGACGA
rnacentral:rRNA from 1 species